rnacentral:rRNA from 1 species
AGCGAACGCUGGCGGCAGGCCUAACACAUGCAAGUCGAACGGAUCCUUCUGGAUUAGUGGCGGACGGGUGAGUAACACGUGGGAACGUGCCCUUUGGUUCGGAACAACUCAGGGAAACUUGAGCUAAUACCGGAUGUGCCCUUCGGGGGAAAGAUUUAUCGCCAAUGGAGCGGCCCGCGUCUGAUUAGCUAGUUGGUGAGGUAAAGGCUCACCAAGGCGACGAUCAGUAGCUGGUCUGAGAGGAUGAUCAGCCACAUUGGGACUGGGACACGGCCCAAACUCCUACGGGAGGCAGCAGUGGGGAAUCUUGCGCAAUGGGCGAAAGCCUGACGCAGCCAUGCCGCGUGAAUGAUGAAGGUCUUAGGAUUGUAAAAUUCUUUCACCGGGGACGAUAAUGACGGUACCCGGAGAAGAAGCCCCGGCUAACUUCGUGCCAGCAGCCGCCGUAACAC